rnacentral:rRNA from 1 species
UACGUAGGGGGCAAGCGUUGUCCGGAAUCAUUGGGCGUAAAGCGCGUGUAGGCGGCCAGAUAAGUCCGCUGUGAAAUCUCGAGGCUCAACUUCGAGCUGUCGGUGGAAACUGUCUGGCUAGAGUCCGGAAGAGGAGAGUGGAAUUCCUGGUGUAGCGGUGAAAUGCGCAGAUAUCAGGAAGAACACCCGUGGCGAAGGCGGCUCUCUGGGACGGUACUGACGCUGAGACGCGAAAGCGUGGGGAGCGAACAGG